rnacentral:lncRNA from 1 species
ACUUGCGUCAAUACCCAACUUACAGUUUUGAAAACUGCUCAAGCUAGAUUUAUGUUGAUGCUUUUUGUCUAUGAUAAACAAAUUCAAUGAACGAACUAAAAAAUUAGCAGAUGAGUAGCAAGGUAUUUUAACUUACUUGUCAUUUUUUUUCUUUUUUUUAACUGAAUUUACCAAACAGCAGUUUAAACCGUAAGGCGGUUUUUUUUUACUAAACCUUUAAUAGAUCCUUAAAAACAAACAGAUUAUUUUUAUAUGUAACGGAUAUAUUCAGAUUUUAUUAUGUUGUACUGAAUAGAGGUGUCCGAUCCGUUUAUUAGAGUCAGCAGGAACGAGCAAAUUAGUGAACACGAAUACUACGAUAAGAAGUUCAGAAAAUAUUUUAUUAAACUAACAUGAUUUAUCUAAAAAACAUAUAACUGUUGGCGAAAUGUAAAGAUUUCAAAUAAAAACGACGCAAAAUGAAGAAAUUUAUCCAUUGUGACUACACAAAGCGGUAAUGUUUCCAAUCUUUAAUUAUAGAGAAAAUAAGUAUAUUAAUAACUAAAUAAAAGGUAAGUUGAUAUACAAACGCAGCCAGAUGCCUGAAAUCCAAAAACAAAUACGUACAUAUAUUGAGAUAACUGACGGAUAUAUAUUACAAAAGACAAAAACAUGCCGAUUGAUCAAAAACAGCUUGAAAAGAAAAAUCGACUUUUAAAUGAAAGUAGAGUGGAAAUAAGUAACGAGACAACGAAUGUAAAUAAAAAUCGUUCUUAGAUACAAACAUCAUUUCUUUACAAUUUAACUGUUCACUUGAUAUACACCAAAGCCACUGGGGGUUUUUAUGGUUUAGUACCAAAAUUAUUUAUAAAUAAAGAAACGUGCGUUUGAAAAAACAACUUAAUCCUUUUGGAAUUUCAAAAAGAGUUUAUUGGUUUGCUCCACGAAGGUAAGACAGAAAAUUGUGUGAGGAGCGAUUCUGGCCAAGUGAGCACCAAAACCCUUAUAUAAGGCAAAGAAUCCUUCAGAGCGGAUUGUUUUAAGGAUGCAAUCAAUCGGAUUUUUAUAAAGCUCCUUGUUCUUUUGGUUGUACAUACGAGUCAUAACAGUAUCGAAAAUUUGCAUGGUGCAGCAUACACCAAAUCCAGAAACAGCACUAGCAGUUAAGUGUUUGAUCAUACCCUCUUCCAAUAGAUUGUAAUGCUCAAUCAUGCGUUUAGCCCAAUUAUAGAUAGGAAGCUGAACAGAGGAACCAGAGACAGUACGGAGAAUGGCAGCAUCAGCACCAACAAACAAACCCUUAACACCAUUUUCCUUAAUAAUACGACUGAAUGCAUUAAAUAUAUGCUUGUAACCAUACUGCUGGCCAACGGGAAAUUUAGGAGAAUACGACUGCAUGCGAGUCUUAACCAAGAAAAAGGGAGAGCCAAACAAGGCACCACAUAAACCUGAACCGGCGCCACUUGCAACGUUAAUAGCUAAUUUAUUACCCUUGGGAUCAUCAAGGAACCACGUAUUCAGAGUACGUCGAAUCGGUUCGUAAAACCCGAGACGACAGCCAUUGAGGCAGAUUUGAUAAACAUAAGCAGUACCAAGGCCUCGUUGAAGACCUCUUAUACCUUCAUGUCUAGCGAUUAGAGAAAAUGCCUGACCGACGCUUUUGUAAAUUCGCUUAGAAGGAUCCAAUUUUGUCAAUUGACCUUGAAGUUGAAAACGCGUUUUAAUAACUUCGAAAGGAUUUGUCAGUGUUACAGCACCACAAGCUGCAAGACCACCUGACAAAAAUCCACUAACGGGACCAAGUUUUUUCACCUGAGUAGGAUUGUGUGCAGGAAGGGCUUUGAUAGUUUGUUUCUCAGACAUGACUUAAUAUUGGGAUUUUUUCUUCGAAUUUAAACAAAAAAAUCUGCCUCAAAUGGCAAUUCAAUUUGCGUAGCAAGUGUUGGCCGAAGGAAAAAGAAUUCUUGCAGUUGAGAUUUUUUCAGUGAUAAUAGCCUUGAUUAAAUUGUGCGCGGAAAAUUUACCAUUGCGGCAAUUUGGGAAGGCAAAACGUAACUUUCGUACGGACUCAAAAAAUAAGCAAAAUGAUACUAAUAAAAAAAUUAUAGAUUGAAUUGCAAUUUUUUUAUUUACAAGGCACCCUAAUUGCUCUAUACUUUUUCCAUUUUAAUGCUAAAUUAAACAGGUCACAUGUUACUUAUGUUUACUAUUUGAAAAUACAGAUACUAGAACGCACUUAACCUCUUUAAAUUAAGGAUUUACCUACAAUCAUAUAUAUUUUUUUUUUCUUUCUCUGUCCUACAAAUAUUUGGUAGAAUUUUAAAAUUUUUUGAAUAAAAGUCAUUUGAAAGUUUGAGUAAUGUUUGUCAACAAUAAAUGCGA